AUUAUUUAAGAGGUAAAUAUUGUUAGUAAAUAAAAAUUACGAAAGCAAAAAAUUAUGGCGGUAUUUUAAGCUUUUCAGAGGAAUUUGCUCUUUAAUGGAUAAAACACCUGAAUCUUACUUAAAUUUGUUAAUUCAAUUUGUAUACCACUAUAAAAACAAUUAAUAACUUUAAUUGUUUAAACUUAUUAAAUUAAAUUAUAUUAAGUCAAGGUGCAGUAAAAAUUUAAGAAUGAAGUGAAUUACAUUUCUUUUUAGAGAAAGAAAUUUAAAUAACAUUUAGGAU
rnacentral:rRNA from 1 species